GACGAACGCUGGCGGCGUGGAUUAGGCAUGCAAGUCGAACGGUAGGAUACCUUCGGGGUAUCUGGGAGUGGCGAACGGGUGAGUAACACGUAGGUGAUCUACCCUCAAGAUUGGGACAACCCAGGGAAACUUGGGCUAAUACCGGAUGAAAGCAGCAGUGAUGUUGUUUGAAAGGUGGCGUAAGCUGCCGUUUGGGGAUGAGCCUGCGCUCUAUUAGUUAGUUGGCGGGGUAAAGGCCCACCAAGGCGAUGAUAGAUAGGCGGCCUUAACGGGUGGUCGCCCACACUGGGAUUGAGAUACGGCCCAGACUCCUACGGGAGGCAGCAGUCGAGAAUAGUCUACAAUGGCCGAAAGGCUGAUAGUGCGACGCCGCGUGAACGAAGAAGCCCUUCGGGGUGUAAAGUUCUUUUAUAUGUGAGCAGUGCUUUCUAUGUGAACAGCAUGGGGAGAGAGAUACUAGCAUAUGAAUAAGCAACGGCUAACUCCGUG
rnacentral:rRNA from 1 species